CCUACGGGAGGCAGCAGUGAGGAAUAUUGGUCAAUGGCCGGAAGGCUGAACCAGCCAAGCCGCGUGAAGGACGAAGGUGCCAAGCAUUGUAAACUUCUUUUGUCAAGGGACAAAAUCAGGCUCGAGAGCCUGACCGAGGGUACUUGAAGAAAAAGCAUCGGCUAACUACGUGCCAGCAGCCGCGGUAAUACGUAGGUGGCAAGCGUUGUCCGGAAUUACUGGGUGUAAAGGGAGCGUAGGCGGGACAGCAAGUCCAGUGUGAAAUCUAUCGGCUCAACCGAUAGCUGCGCUGGAAACUGUGGUUCUUGAGUGAAGUAGAGGCAGGCGGAAUUCCUAGUGUAGCGGUGAAAUGCGUAGAUAUUAGGAGGAACACCAGUGGCGAAGGCGGCCUGCUGGACUUUUACUGACGCUGAGGCUCGAAAGUGUGGGUAGCAAACAGGAUUAGAUACCCUGGUAGUC
rnacentral:rRNA from 1 species